rnacentral:rRNA from 1 species
CCCUUAGAUGUCCGGGGCUGCACGCGCGCUACACUGAAGGAAUCAGCGUGCUAAAACCAUUGUCGAAAGGCAUUGGUAAACCCAUUAAAAUCCUACGUGAUUGGGAUCGGGAAUUGCAAUUAUUUCCCUUGAACGAGGAAUUCCCAGUAAGUGUGGGUCAUAAGCUCGCGUUGAUUACGUCCCUGCCCUUUGUACACACCGCCCGUCGCUGCCCGGGACUGAGCCGUUUCGAGAAAAGCGGGGACUGCUGCUGUCGGCGCUUUCGGGCCUUGGCUUCGGUGGAAACCGCUUUAAUCGCAGUGGCUUGAACCGGGCAAAAGUCGUAACA